rnacentral:rRNA from 1 species
UACGUAGGGGGCUAGCGUUAUCCGGAAUUACUGGGCGUAAAGGGUGCGUAGGUGGUUUCUUAAGUCAGAGGUGAAAGGCUACGGCUCAACCGUAGUAAGCCUUUGAAACUGGGAAACUUGAGUGCAGGAGAGGAGAGUGGAAUUCCUAGUGUAGCGGUGAAAUGCGUAGAUAUUAGGAGGAACACCAGUGGCGAAGGCGGCUUUUCUGGACGAUAACUGACGCUGAGGCGCGAAAGCGUGGGGAGCAAACAGGAUUAGAUACCCGUGUAGUCCCUGAGCGGGCU